rnacentral:rRNA from 1 species
GUGGGGAAUCUUCCGCAAUGGACGAAAGUCUGACGGAGCAACGCCGCGUGAGUGAUGAAGGUUUUCGGACUGUAAAGCUCUGUUGUUUAGGACGAAAGUGCCUGUUGCAAAUAGUUACAGGUAUUGACGGUACUGAACGAGGAAGCCACGGCUAACUACGUGCCAGCAGCCGCGGUAAUACGUAGGUGGCAAGCGUUGUCCGGAAUUAUUGGGCGUAAAGAGCAUGUAGGCGGGAAUCUAAGUCUGUUGUGAAAAUGCGGGGCUCAACCCCGUAUUGCGAUGGAAACUGGGUUUCUUGAGUGCAGGAGAGGAAAGGGGAAUUCCCAGUGUAGCGAUGAAAUGCGUAGAUAUUGGGAGGAACACCAGUGGCGAAGGCGCCUUUCUGGACUGUGUCUGACGCUGAGAUGCGAAAGCCAGGGUAGCGAACGGGAUUAGAAACCCGGGUAGUCC